rnacentral:rRNA from 1 species
ACGGGUGGCUGCAGUGGGGAAUCUUGCACAAUGGGCGAAAGCCUGAUGCAGCGACGCCGCGUGGGGGAUGAAGCUUCUCGGAGUGUAAACCCCUUUCGAUCCGGACGAAUACCUCGCAAGAGGGGUGACGGUACGGAUAUAAGAAGCCCCGGCUAACUACGUGCCAGCAGCCGCGGUAAGACGUAGGGGGCCAGCGUUGUUCGGAAUUACUGGGUGUAAAGGGUCAGUAGGCGGUGUGGCAAGUUGGGAGUGAAAUCUCUGGGCUCAACCCAGAGGCUGCUUCCAAAACUGCUGUGCUUGAGUGUGAGAGAGGCGCGUGGAAUUGCAGGUGUAGCGGUGAAAUGCGUAGAUAUCUGCAGGAACACCCGUGGCGAAAGCGGCGCGCUGGAUCACAACUGACGCUGAAUGACGAAAGCUAGGGGAGCAAACAGGAUUAGAUACCCCGGUAGUCAUCUUUCUAGA